UGCCAUGACACAUAUGCCCACAUACAUGUCAUACACACAUACAUGCAUGCACACUAAUGAUAAAGAAGUGAAAUUUUUUCUUCUAACCAUAAACAAUGCACAACUUUAAAAACUACACCACGGGAGCAGAAAAGCCAACUCAAUGGCUGAGACUACUUGCUGCUCUUACAGAGGACCUGAGUUCAGCUCCCAGCAUCCAUGUCAGGCAGGCAACUUACAACCAGCUGUUAUGCCAGCUCCAGGGGUUCCGAUCAAUGACUCUAACCUCUGAAGGCACCUACACACUUAUUCACAUACCCUACAUAGAAAAACACAAACAUAGAGUUAAAAAUAAAAUUCAACUAAAAAUCACACCAUAAUGUAUUCACUGUUAUAAAGGCAUGGCUGUAGAUGGUAGAACAAAUGAUUCCUAUACAUAGUAAAUCAUAUGGGGAAAAAAUCUGAACUUUACAAAUAUAGAACUUCAGCUGGUCAGUGGCAGCACAUUCCAUUAGUCCCAGCACUGAGGAGACAGAGGCAGGUCGAUCUCUAAGUUCAGGGCCAGCCUGAUCUAUGGAGGAAGUUCCAGGACAGCCUGAGCUACUCAGAAAACAACCAACCAAAAAAGAGAGGGGGGGUGGGUUAAAAUUAUCUCAAGGUAUUUAUUCAAAGAAUUUGUCAAUGUCUUUAAUUCACAAAUAUCUGAGACCAGACAA
rnacentral:lncRNA from 1 species